CCAGGCUCGGGAGAGGGCUGGAUCAUGGACGGGCUCCGGGCUAGCGCGGGGCUGUUGAGGCGCGGGCGGUUAAGGCGCCGGCGCCAGCCACAGCCACACAGCGGGUCGGUCCUGGCCCUGCCCUUGAGGCCCAGGAAGAUCCGAAGGCAGCUGAGGAGAAGUGUUGCGUCCCGCAUGGCCGCGCUGAGGGCCCAGACGCUGCCGAGCGAGGACUCGGAGGACUCCAGGGUGGAGUCGACGGUGGACGAUCCCGGGGACCCGCUGCCUGGUGGGGCGGCGGCCCUCUCAGAUGCGGCCCGGCGAGAGCCGUACGGCCCCCUCGGGCCUGCAGAGCUGCUGGAGGCUUCGCCCGCGGCCCGCUCGCUGCAGACCCAGCCGGCGCGCCUGGUGCCGGCGUCCGCGCCGCCCGCGCGCCUGGUGGAGGUGCCCGCCGCGCCGGCCCGCGUGGUGGAGACGUCGGCCCUGCUGUGCUCUGCUCCACACUUGGCGGCCGCCCCACCGUCCGUGGUCCCUGCGACGCUCUCGGGGCCGCAGGUGGAUAGCACGGGCGGGGAGCUAUCCUGGGACUCCCCGCUGCAGCGCGUCUUGGCCGAGCUGAACCGCAUCCCAAGCAGCCGGCGACGGGCGGCGCGCCUCUUUGAGUGGCUCAUCGCGCCCAUGCCGCCGGAUCAUUUCUACCGGCGCCUGUGGGAGCGGGAGGCGGUGCUGGUGCGGCGGCAGGACCACACCUACUACCAGGGUCUUUUCUCUACCGCCGACCUGGACUCCAUGCUGCGCGACGAGGAGGUGCAGUUCGGGCAGCACCUGGACGCGGCGCGCUACAUCAACGGGCGGCGAGAGACUCUGAACCCGCCCGGCCGCGCCCUGCCCGCCGCCGCGUGGUCCCUGUACCAGGCCGGCUGCUCCCUGCGCCUCCUCUGUCCGCAGGCUUUCUCGACCACCGUGUGGCAGUUUUUGGCUGUGCUCCAGGAGCAGUUUGGAAGCAUGGCAGGCUCCAACAUUUACCUCACGCCCCCCAACUCGCAAGGCUUUGCCCCCCACUACGACGACAUCGAGGCUUUUGUGCUGCAGCUGGAAGGAAGGAAACUCUGGCGUGUCUACCGACCCCGGAUCCCCACUGAGGAACUCGCCCUGACAUCCAGCCCCAACUUCACCCAGGAUGACCUCGGUGAGCCAGUGCUGCAGACUGUGCUGGAACCUGGAGAUUUGCUCUAUUUUCCCCGGGGCUUCAUUCACCAAGCCGAAUGCCAGGAUGGAGUGCACUCUCUGCACCUCACCUUGUCCACGUACCAGCGCAAUACGUGGGGCGACUUCCUGGAGGCCGUACUGCCUCUGGCAGUGCAGGCUGCCAUGGAAGAAAACGUGGAGUUUCGUAGGGGUCUGCCCCGAGACUUCAUGGAUUACAUGGGGGCCCAGCAUUCGGAUUCUAAGGAUCCGCGAAGAACCGCUUUCAUGGAGAAGGUGCGGGUCUUGGUUGCCCGCUUGGGACACUUUGCCCCUGUCGAUGCUGUGGCUGACCAGCGAGCCAAAGACUUCAUCCACGAUUCUCUGCCUCCUGUGUUGACUGAUAGGGAAAGGGCACUAAGUGUUUAUGGGCUCCCAAUUCGCUGGGAGGCUGGAGAACCUGUAAACGUGGGCGCCCAGUUGACAACAGAAACAGAAGUGCACAUGCUUCAGGAUGGGAUAGCUCGGCUGGUGGGGGAGGGAGGCCAUUUGUUUCUCUAUUAUACAGUGGAAAACUCCCGUGUUUAUCAUCUGGAAGAACCCAAGUGUUUGGAGAUAUACCCCCAGCAAGCUGAUGCCAUGGAACUCUUGCUCCGCUCCUACCCAGAGUUUGUGAGAGUAGGGGACCUGCCCUGUGACAGUGUGGAAGACCAGCUUUCCUUGGCAACCAUGUUAUAUGAUAAGGGGCUGCUGCUCACCAAGAUGCCUCUAACCUGAACUAAUUUCUUGUUGAUUGCUGGAAACAACACAGUAGUGAUUCUCUCCUACCACCACCACCUUUUUUGGGGAAAAACUCAUGUUCUUACCUUUAUAACCAUCAGUGUGUUCUCACAUUUACCUUUAUGACUUCUUCAGUGUCACAAAUCUCAGAUGGUCUUCUAGGAACCACCACCUCAUCUAGGCACAAAAUAAAAGCAGAAGUUGGAGGUGGAAAAAAAGGAGCUAUUUCUGCAGAAGUAACCUCGAUCCCUGAUCAUUUCAGAGCACCAACUUCAUCAUCACCCUCAGGCUUCAGUGUACUGUGUAGUACUUGCUGGGUCACUCUGCUUGAGACAAGUUUUUUUUUGGAAUUUGCAUUCUUCAUUUGAGUUCUGUUUCAUCAGUUUGGGGGGAGGGUUGGGUUGGAAGAAACUUCCCCAAAUCUGGCAAGUGAAUAUUCUCAUGGUUGGUGGAAAAGAGCCUGGUGUACCAGAGAGCACUGGACUUGGAACCAGAAGACCUAGGUUUGGGGUGGUGGCUGGUAGGCAGCUGGCUGAAUGACCUGAGGCUGCUGCUACACCUGGGCACACAGAUUUUAAUGGUGAGUGUACUAUGCGCAACAAGGGAAACUCAGGGUAAUGCCCUCUUCGGGUUAAUCGGGUUCUUUCUAACUAAUAUUUCCUGAGAUGAGAGGAUGAAUAAAAUGGUUAUAAGAAGA